UACGGGGGGGGCAAGCGUUGUUCGGAAUUACUGGGCGUAAAGGGCUCGUAGGUGGCCAACUAAGUCAGACGUGAAAUCCCUCAGCUUAACUGGGGAACUGCGUCUGAUACUGGAUGGCUUGAGUUUGGGAGAGGGAUGCGGAAUUCCAGGUGUAGCGGUGAAAUGCGUAGAUAUCUGGAGGAACACCGGUGGCGAAGGCGGCAUCCUGGACCAACACUGACACUGAGGAGCGAAAGCCAGGGGAGCAAGCAGG
rnacentral:rRNA from 1 species